UGUAAGCGUAUACCAAAGUUGUUGCAGUUAAAACGCUCGUAGACGGAAUUUGGCAGUUCCGGAUGUGUGCACGUCGUGUGCGCACUUCGCGGGGAUUGCUUUUGUGGUCUUGCGUAGGAUGAGGCACUUUUAUUAGUGAACGUCCUCACGCAACCACUUUUUACUGUGAGAAAAUCAGAGUGCUCAAAGCAGGCAUUUGCCGUGAAUGUAUUAGCAUGGAAUAAUAGAAUAGGACUUGGUUCUAUUUUGUUGGUUUGUUGGGACUGAGUAAUGAUUAAGAGGGACAGUUGGGGGCAUUUGUAUUUCGGUGCUAGAGGUGAAAUUCUUAGAUUACCGAAAGACAAACUGCUGCGAAAGCGUCUGCCAAGGAUGUUUUCAUUGA
rnacentral:rRNA from 1 species